rnacentral:rRNA from 1 species
CGGGUGAGUAAUGCCUAGGAAUCUGCCUGGUAGUGGGGGACAACGUUUCGAAAGGAACGCUAAUACCGCAUACGUCCUACGGGAGAAAGCAGGGGACCUUCGGGCCUUGCGCUAUCAGAUGAGCCUAGGUCGGAUUAGCUAGUUGGUGAGGUAAUGGCUCACCAAGGCGACGAUCCGUAACUGGUCUGAGAGGAUGAUCAGUCACACUGGAACUGAGACACGGUCCAGACUCCUACGGGAGGCAGCAGC